GUCGUGCGAGAAGUAUCUUCGGAUAUGAGUAGAGCGGCGGACGGGUGACUUUGCGUAGGAAUCUACCUAGUAGAAGGGGAUAGCCCGGGGAAACCCGGAUUAAUACCGUAUACCUCCUUCGGGAGAAAGAAGGCCUCUCUUUGAAGCUUUCGCUAUUAGAUGAGCCUGCGUAAGAUUAGCUUGUUGGUGAGGUAAAGGCUCACCAAGGCGACGAUCUUUAGCUGGUCUGAGAGGACGAUCAGCCGCAUUGGGACUGAGACACGGCCCAGACUCCUACGGGAGGCAGCAGUGGGGAAUAUUGGACAAUGGGCGCAAGCCUGAUCCAGCCAUACCGCGUGUGUGAAGAAGGCCUUCGGGUUGUAAAGCACUUUAAGCAGGGAGAAAAAGUUAUAAGUUAAUACCUUAUAACCUUGAUGUUACCUGCAGAAUAAGCACCGGCUAAUUCCGUGCCAGCAGCCGCGGUAAUACGGAAGGCGCAAGCGUUAAUCGGAAUUACUGGGCGUAAAGCGCGCGUAGGUGGUUUGUUAAGUUGGAUGUGAAAGCCCUGGGCUCAACCUAGGAACUGCAUCCAAAACUAACUCACUAGAGUACGAUAGAGGGAGGUAGAAUUCAUAGUGUAGCGGUGGAAUGCGUAGAUAUUAUGAAGAAUACCAGUGGCGAAGGCGGCCUCCUGGAUCUGUACUGACACUGAGGUGCGAAAGCGUGGGUAGCGAACAGGAUUAGAUACCCUGGUAGUCCACGCCGUAAACGAUGACAACUAGCUGUUGGAAGACAAUGUCUUUCAGUGGCGCAGCUAACGUUUUAAGUUGUCCGCCUGGGGAGUACGGCCGCAAGGCUAAAACUCAAAUGAAUUGACGGGGACCCGCACAAGCGGUGGAGCAUGUGGUUUAAUUCGAUGCAACGCGAAAAACCUUACCUACUCUUGACAUACUUGGGAGCUCUUGUAAUGAGAGUGUGCCUUUUGGAACCAAGAUACAGGUGCUGCAUGGCUGUCGUCAGCUCGUGUCGUGAGAUGUUCCGUUAAGUCGGAUAACGAGCGCAACCCUUACCCUUAUUUGCCAGCGAUUCGGUCGGGAACUAUAAGGGGGACUGCCCGGUGAUAAACCGGGAGGAAGGUGAGGACGACGUCAAGUCGUCAUGGGCC
rnacentral:rRNA from 1 species